rnacentral:lncRNA from 1 species
GUGGUAUGGGUGUCUUCCUCCAUCUUGGAUUGUAAAAAACAGAGAAUCAAAGGUCCAGAUUUUCCAUCAAGUUAGCAAAAUUUGAUGCAGGAAUGCAGAUGUUUAAUGUACAUUUUCAUUUAAAAGUACCAAUUUAUAAGAAUAUAACUUCUAAAUAUUGAUAUUUUUGCAAAUGUUAAUUAUUUUUGGUUGUUUUUAUUUUUUUUUUUAAAUUGGCAUUUUAAGGGGAGGUAACUCUAAAAAAGUGCAUUUUCUGAAGGAUUCUGUAUGGAAUUUUCCUAUUUUGUAUUUUAGCCGGAAAAAAUGUACGGUGACCCUAUCUUUUCUUUUGAUAUUCUCAAAGCAGUGUCUGAAAGCUAUCUUUUCCUGAAGUAUUUACAGUGACUUGACUGUUAGUGUUGCUAUCCACCAAUUGCAACUCAUUCAAAAUUUUGACCAAAUUGCAAUUUGUUUUAUAAAAUCAAAUUGUUCAACUGGUCAGAAUAUUGAACAAAUUGUUCAGUCAAAAUGUGAAAGUGCAAGGUGAUAAAAUAAAAUAUACUUACAAUCCUACAAGACUUUAACUCC